GUCAGUGUAAGACACAGCUGUGAGAGAAUCAUUUCUACAUCAGUGAACGAUGGUGGCUGCAGGUGAGUGGCUUACCCAUCAGAGAGAUUCAGUCUCUGCAGAAUUUUCAUUCCUCAACUCCCCGUGGAACCAAAAUAGUGGCCACGCUUUGAUAUCUCUUCUCCACUGAAUAACUCUAACAACAGCAUGGAGAUGUUCCAGAAACUUCAUCCAUGGCCGAUGAUUUCUCAACCUAUUUCAUUGUCUGUGAGCGUACGCGCCCUCAGUAACGGUCCUGCAUGGCCUUCCAAUGACUAGGACAAGAUCACGAUUUAUCUCUGAUGGUGCUGGUGUGGCUACAGCAUUCAGGUGCACCCCAUACAAGGAGGGCCUCACUACUGUGUCCCCGAUGGAACGCUGCUCUCUGCACGUGGAAGAAAGCCCUGCUCAGCGAAUACUCCAAAGCUGCACCCCGAAUGAAAAGCUGAGGAGAAAGCAGGAAGUAUAAGCAUGACAUUUAGGGAAGAAUUAGAAGACUCACAAAGGCUCAAUAAAUCUAAGACCCUGAGUCCAUUUACCUAGGAAUUUUCCCAGCACAGCUCAUAACUCAACAGGCUCUGAGGUCAUUGUGUAUCCUUAGCACAGUACAAUUAUCCAUGCUCACAGCAGCGGCUGAGUCACCAUGAAGAUUGAAAUAGGUUCAGUCUCUAGAGUGAAGAUGAGAAGAAAUAUGAAGCACACUGGUAGGCUACUCCUAUCAAGAGUGGUGAAGAUGAAUAUUUCAUACUUGAAGUCUGAGCAUAAUUCACUAAACAUAGAUGGAAAGUGCUUAUUGUCUAUUGAUAUUAUCUGUGCAGAGAAAGCCAAACUUCAUUACACUUCAUAAGCAAUUACCUACUGCAAACCCCAGUCAAUUUACUUUCGUGAUGAAUCUAUGUUCCUAAUUAGCUGUAACAUUCAUCUGAACAUUACAAAAAUUCUCUUCUGGAAAAAUUACAGGCUGUUGUUAUAUGUUAACCAGGACAUGUUCCUUCUGUACGCAGUUAACACUGCAAACAGAGGAACUCUGGAAGCAUCCACUAGAGGGUAAACAAAUGUAAACACCACAUGAGGAAAGAUAAGCAAAGGAAUAAAAAACACGUGUGCAAUUACCUUCGGCAGAGUUGAUCGGUGGCGGACUGAGGA